GAGGCAGUAAGGUGCGGUGCUUGGAGGAUUCUAUCACAUAUACAAGGGAGGCAGUAAGGUGCGGUGCCUGGAGGAUUCUGUCACAUAUACACAGGGAGGCAGUAAGGCGCGGUGCUUGGAGAUUCUAUCACAUAUACAAGGGAGGCAGUAAGGUGCGGUGCUUGGAGGAUUCUAUCACAUACACAAGGGAGGCAGUAAGGUGCGGUGCUUGGAGGAUUCUGUCACAUACACCAGGGAGGCAGUAAGGCGCGGUGCUUGGAGGAUUCUAUCACAUAUACACAAGGGAGGCAGUAAGGCGCGGUGCUUGGAGGAUUCUGUCACAUACACAAGGGAGGCAGUAAGGUGCGGUGCUUGCAGGAUUCUAUCACAUAUACAAGGGAGGCAGUAAGGCGCGGUGCUUAGAGGAUUCUAUCACAUACACCAGGGAGGCAGUAAGGUGCGGUGCUUGGAGCCUCUAGAACCAGACUGCUCAGCUCUGAC
rnacentral:lncRNA from 1 species